rnacentral:rRNA from 1 species
CCUACGGGAGGCAGCAGUGGGGAAUAUUGGACAAUGGGCGCAAGCCUGAUCCAGCAAUGCCGCGUGAGUGAUGAAGGCCUUCGGGUCGUAAAGCUCUUUUACCCGGGAUGAUAAUGACAGUACCGGGAGAAUAAGCUCCGGCUAACUCCGUGCCAGCAGCCGCGGUAAUACGGAGGGAGCUAGCGUUGUUCGGAAUUACUGGGCGUAAAGCGCACGUAGGCGGUUAUUCAAGUCAGAGGUGAAAGCCCGGGGCUCAACCCCGGAACUGCCUUUGAAACUAGA